rnacentral:rRNA from 1 species
GACGAACGCUGGCGGCGUGCCUAAUACAUGCGAGUCGAACGAGAGCGACCGGUGCUUGCACUGGUCAAUCUAGUGGCGAACGGGUGAGUAACACGUGGGUAACCUGCCCAUCAGAGGGGGAUAACAUCCGGAAACGGAUGCUAAAACCGCAUAGGUCUUCGAACCGCAUGGUUUGAAGAGGAAAAGAGGCGCAAGCUUCUGCUGAUGGAUGGACCCGCGGUGCAUUAGCUAGUUGGUGAGGUAACGGCUCACCAAGGCCGUGAUGCAUAGCCGAUCUGAGAGGGUGAUCGGCCACAUUGGGACUGAGACACGGCCCAAACUCCUACGGGAGGCAGCAGUAGGGAAUCUUCCGCAAUGGACGCAAGUCUGACGGAGCAACGCCGCGUGAGUGAAGAAGGUUUUCGGAUCGUAAAACUCUGUUGUUAGAGAAGAACAAGUGCUAGAGUAACUGUUAGCGCCUUGACGGUAUCUAACCAGAAAGCCACGGCUAACUACGUG